UGCCAAAAGUAGUCACUUUGAUUUGAUUUGCCUUGAAUGAAAUUUUUAAAAUGUAAAGCUAAAGUCUUCAGGAUCACUGCACUGGGUUUCUAUGGGACAACACUGAACAGGGCUGCCACUGAAACACCUUGGAUGAGAGCCUCAAACUCCCUGAACACAGCAUCCAGCACACUACUGGGAGAAUGACUGGGACUCAAAAAUGUGUGCAAUGAAUGUACUUAUGAGCUUGUUGGAGAGGAAGUAAAGAGGUUGUAUGUAAUUACCUCAAAUUAGUACUACUACAGAAUAAUCAGUACUGGUAAAGUAAAAGUAGUGCUAAAGUAGUACUAAUAAAGUAGUACUAAUAGCCCUACACUAGUAGUAGUAAUAAAGUGGCAUUGCUAUUGAUUCUAUCCAUCUAUCUACCUACCUGUCUGGAUGGGAGGGCACAGGAUUUGACUGAUAAGAUUAGGCUUAGCAGUGAAAAGAGCUCAUGUAUGCUUUAAGCAGGUAUGCACUCAAACUUGGUAUCAUGUGACUGUUCUGAAUUCCAGAACCAUGGCUAAAGGGUGGAAGUUUUGUUUGACUGUGUCUCACAUUUUCCUUUUGGUCUAUUGUCUAACACAUGUUGCUAGAAUUCAUUUUACUCUGACUACCUUUUAUGUACAGACAACGCUGUUAUUGAAGAGAUCACACCCAAGCGGAUCAGAGAUUGGCCCAAUACUUACACCUACACCAAGGCCUUGGGAGAAAUGGUGGUGCAGCAGGAGAGCAGGAGCCUAACCAUCGUCAUCAUAAGGCCCUCCAUUGUGGGAGAAAUGUGGCAUAAGCCUUUCCCAGGUUGGGUUGAUAAUCUAAAUGGACCUAGCUGACUCAUUAUCGCGGUAUGUAUAGGGAUGAAGAAAUAACUCUGAAACGUAGUGGAGGAAUAGUAACAGAAUUCUUAGUGCUGGCUUAGCUUCAUUGAUCCAAAAACGUAAAUGCUACUUUACUAUCAA